UCUGUCUAAUCUACCUCUCUCUGUGAGAGAGAGAGAGAGGGAGAGAGAGGAUGGCGGGGGAUGUCGUGGGAAAGAUCGGUGGUCUUCGCCACCGUCGCCGUCGAUCACUCUUUCGACACCGUCAAGGUAACAGGUGUUUUUCUGUGUUGGUGGUUCAGCGUCAUUCUUGAGAGAAAUGUUUUACAAAUGCUUCCUUUCAUAUCGUCUAUCGCUAUGCACAAUAUCAAAUCCACUCAAAGUUGGAGAGUUCUUGGUUAAAAAGACAGCAAACUUGGUUGACAGACAUGGGAAUAGGCUGGCGGUGGUCUCGGUGGGAUAGCUUCCAAGAACUGCUCUGUCCAAGCCCUGACCCGACGUCUAAGUCCCCGGCCCUAAAACAUUCGCAUCCAUGCAUUUCCGUCGCUUUACUCCAUUUUCCGUGUCACGGGUCUUGCAGAUUUCCAUUCAUUGCAGGCAAUGUGAAGCAGUCCUACUUCACACACACACACACACAUAUAUAUAUUGUUUGAUCUCACCUUGUUAGCUGAAAUGUAUAUCAUAAUCUCAAUGAUUGUCUGUAUUAAAAAGAAUAUAUAUAUAUAAACUGAAUUUGAAGGGACAGGGGCUUUGCGCCGUUUCACCGGUUGCAUAAAAUAAAUCCCUUCCCCAAAAUGCACGUAAGCAAUAUUUAAACUCU